UACUGAAAAUGUGGAGUUGGCAUUUUUUAUUACUGCGCCUGUUGAUAUAUACUUGGAGUUUUUAGUGCUACUAUUGGUUGCUUUCGUCGUAUUAUCAUUUGUAGAGCUUAAAUUAUUUCCUAUGAAUCCUCCCCCUUUCUUUAUUGGGUUGCUAUUAUUAAUUGAGCUAGAGUAGUACGAAGCUGCAGAUCUCAUUUGCUGUAUGUGUUUCUCAUCAACCUUACCAUUGGAAAAAUUGGAAAUGGCUGGGCUAUUACCAAAAGAAGUCGUUUUAUUAGUUGCUGAGCCAGAAAUAAAGGUAUUAUAUACUUGUGAGAAAAAGUUUCCCAGUAUACCUCCUUUUUUCGAGUUAUCUGCUGGUGGGUUUUUAUUAAUGGAAGAUCUUUUGUUUGAUUGUAGUUCACUCUGGAAUUUACUAUAAAUCGGCUCGUUGGACUUAUUUGAAGUAAUGUUAUCGGGAUUGCAUUCUGGAGUAGCAAAUUCAACAGCUCCAGAUACUCUAUUAACUCUAGGAUUACUCACUGCAGUAUUUGGGUUUUGAACAUUUUGGUGUUUGUUACUGAUCAAUUCUCGUUUGCGUCUUGAUAUUUCUGAAUAUACCAAGUUUCUAUAGUCAUCAAUCGAAUGCUUAACAUUAUCGUUUAUUGGUAUAGUAAUUAUAUGAUCACAAUUUGGUUCUUCAUUUGGAUUGUGAAAAAUUGAAACAAAUGGGUGUUUUAAUGCAUCGUUUGCAGAAAUCCUCUUAUUUGGAUUAAAUUGUAGCAAUUUAUCUAAUAAGUCCAAUGCUUCUUCGUUACAGUCAGCUUUUGGGUUUAUUUUUAGUAGUAAAUUCUUCCAUUUAGUAAAUAUAUCUCUUUUAUUUGAUUGUCUUAUCUCAACUUUUUCUUUGAGCGACUCUAUCAUUGUUUUGGCAAAGGGUGAUUGGAUCGACUCGACAUCUUCGUUAGAAGGGAAAUCUAUCACACCUAUGAUUCUUUCAAGUUGAUUCAUAGUUGAUGAACCUGGAAAAAUUGGUUUUCCACACAAUAUCUCUCCCAAAAUACAGCCCAAAGACCACAUGUCAAUCCCCUUUGUAUACUUAGUUGAUCCUAAAAGUAUUUCUGGAGCCCUAUACCAUCUAGUUGCAACAUAGUCUGUGAGAAUAGGCUGAUCAUCAUCGAAAUUUUCAGUAUUUUCGUUAAUACUUAAUGGAAUAUUAUUUGUAACACGCCUUAUGUUGACAAAGCUUCUAGAUAAUCCAAAGUCUGCCACUUUUACAUGGCAUUCAGCAUUUAGAAGUAUAUUUGAUGGUUUCAUAUCACGAUGUAAUAACCCACCACUAUGUAAAUAUUUAAUUACCUUAAUAAGUUGAUAAACUACAUAUUGUUUAUGAACAGGCUCCAAAAUAUUUGCUCUAAUGACUGCAUGUAGGUCCGUCUCCAUAUAGUCAAAAACCAAGUAGACAUCUCUAUCAUUGUCUGCUCUUAAGACAUUUAGUAAAUUUACAAUAUUCUCGUGACCAGAUAGCUCUGUCAAUAUCAUAAUCUCUCUAAAUGUUCUUUGAGCAUCUGUUGAAUUUUGAAAUGCAUCGAAGAUUUUCUUGACUGCAACUACUUCUCCAGUCCUACGAUCAAUAGAUUUCCAAACUAUGCCAUACGCACCCUUCCCCAACUUUUUUACCAGUUCAUAUUUCCUCAAUACAUGUCUGUCAACUCUAUCACACAUGUUUUUUUAUUUUUCAAUUAUUUCUUAAUGUAAUUUUUACCAAAGGAAUUCAAUUGAGUUAAAAAUAUGGCAAUAACAUUUAGUUUAAUAAUCCAAGCCAAUAAUAAUAUCACCUAUUCACACAAAAAGGAUAUCAAGUAUUCUUGGAAAGUAAUUCAUAAUAAUAGAAUUAACCAAAUUUGAGAUAACCUUUAAAAAUAAACCCAAUUUGAGCUUAUUCUCUGUACGGAUUCAUGAAAUAAUAGUUAUUCUCACGCCAGUAAUUUAUGAGAAACUUUGGAUUAUUCCAAAUUAUUUAAACUUUGAAAUUUGAUCAAUUUAGUUUGGAAUUAUUUUGCUUUUUCACGAAUGCCUUAUUCUAGAAUAUAAUAAAUUUGUCAACGGCUCACAAUAGGGAUUCACACGCUCCAGCGCCCAUGGUUAUACGUAAUAAUAUUAUACAAAAAUGCAUAAUUUUUAUUUUAGAUCAAAACAAAUCAGUUUUUUCUUACUAGUUUGUGUUAAGACUUGUUUUCUUCAGCUCGUUAAGCAUAUAAAAGCAUGCAAUAAUAAAUUGCCAGACUAACUACUUUAACAACCUAACUAUGCAAUGUAAAUAUUACCUUUAUGAAUUUAUAACCUAGAUAUUCCUACAGAAUACUAAUGACCUAUAUAUAUCAAUCGUUUUUUUGGGCUGAAGAGCAUAAUUUUAUCUGCCUCUUUCGAGUUUCCCGAAUUUUUUUGCUUUCCUCUAGCGGAAGAACAGGAAAAUUCGGAAUUCCAGUCGAACAAUUUUUUUCAAUCUUCAACUUGUUGAGAACAUUGCAAAAUGACCAUUUUGGGCACUCACAGUUUUMGWCAYUACAUURAAUARAUCAACMMUACUUMYAGRRMMRWAKYUKSYGMSAMUUUYYCGRYGGAGAUMGAUUGUKYAGWUAGYAYUSAWCUYGUUYSMUUAAUMKAAARMUCAAUUMSGGAAUCUGARUWWUKUUWWWARUARWAWUARKRRUAARYGWARAAKAUUUSWAKGWWYUUWRUMGAAGUUKAMUASYUAAAUCWWCAGYWWUUGAAAAUGAMUUWYKARKAUCGCUUKWUWWSUUUWGRKWKURSUWGCUKGAUUUGCAAGCWCRUGAAAMKUSSWAKYKCWARAUAWRKWUGCWAAURRGGAYAWUUUCUGUGGAUCCAUAUCUAUUGGGCUUUCAAAUUCGAUUUUUUCACUGUCUUGCGACAAAUAAUUUAUUUCAAAUUCACUUUUUAUUAACAAGCCUAACAUCUCCAUAGCUUCAUCAUCUAUUUUACUAUAGUUAUUCAAUUGAGAAAAUAUAACAUUUUUAAUCACUUCAUAAAUAUAAGGAUUGUAUGGCACAAUAAUUUUCAAAAAAUUGUUGUAAAUUUGUUCCAAAACAAUAAACAAAUUGUAAAUUGAACCAAAAACUCUUCUUAUUCUUUUGCCCGUUUUCUUAUUUACAAACUCUCUCUCUUCUAUUAAAUUGCCAUCUAGAUCAGUCCCAUCAUAAAUAAAUUUCGACACCUUGUCAACCAGUUUGACUUUAUUGAACAAAUUCUCCAAUGUUGAAUAUGACCCMAAUCUGAUUCCUAAUUCAAAAAUAGUUUUACACUGAACUGAAAUGUGGCUAUUUUCUCUUCUCUUUAUGAAUACAUCUAAAAGCCAUACCCAAAAUUCAGUAUUCAAAUAAUUAAUUAAUUCAUGCUUUUCGUCAUAAAGUAAUGUUGUUUUAAUUAUCGUUAAUAACGAAACCAUAUAUGCUGUUUYUU
rnacentral:rRNA from 1 species